AAGAAAAAUGGACCACAAAAAAGAUAUGAUGGAUUGAAAUCGGGGCAGUGCCUUUCGAUAGAAAGGUCAGUUGCUCUUAGAAAGUUUUGCAAGUGGGGGAAGAGAGGUCACGAUAGAUCAAGAGCUAUUUUUGAUUAG
ensembl:ncRNA M117.9 ncRNA